rnacentral:rRNA from 1 species
CCUACGGGCGGCAGCAGUGAGGAAUAUUGGUCAAUGGACGAGAGUCUGAACCAGCCAAGUCGCGUGAAGGAUGACUGCCCUAUGGGUUGUAAACUUCUUUUAUAUGGGAAUAAAAUGUUCCACGUGUGGGAUUUUGUAUGUACCAUAUGAAUAAGGCUCGGCUAACUCCGUGCCAGCAGCCGCGGUAAUACGGAGGAUCCGAGCGUUAUCCGGAUUUAUUGGGUUUAAAGGGAGCGUAGGUGGCUUGUUAAGUCAGUGGUGAAAGUUUGCGGCUCAACCGUAAAAUUGCAGUUGAAACUGGCAGGCUUGAGUACAGUAGAGGUGGGCGGAAUGCGUGGUGUAGCGGUGAAAUGCUUAGAUAUCACGAAGAACUCCGAUUGCGAAGGCAGCUCACUGGACUGCAACUGACACUGAGGCUCGAAAGUGUGGGUAUCAAACAGGAUUAGAUACCCGUGUAGUC